rnacentral:lncRNA from 1 species
UCAGUCUGUGAUCUCAUGGAUAUCGAGGAAGAGCGUCACUUCCGUACUCUCUGCCCGUUGUAUUCAGAUAUUAGUGAACUCCAACUCCAGUGUAGGCAGUACGAAGUAUGACCCGGACCUCCUCUGGCGCGGAAAAGUGUGGCUCGACUCAAAAAUGAACUGGAGCAGAUUCGGGCGGAAAUGCAGUACAAGGAGAGAGGCGUGGAGACACUGACAAGGGUGGACCAGAAGCUGGCGGGACUGGGCGGAGGAUACAAUGUGACGCAAGCCCAAGCCAUCAUCGCAGAGAUCCGACAGUUGCAGCAACAUGUCAACACUGGCGAGAAGGAAAAAAUGGACCUCAUGCAGAUGUAUUAAAGCUGCACCCCUCCUUUCC